UGAUUUCCCUAGUAGCGGCGAGUGAAGAGGAAAGAGCUCAAAGUUGGAACCUGUUUGGCUUAGCUAAACCGUAUUGUAAACUGUAGAAGUGUUUUCCAGACACGCCUGGUAAAAAAGUCCUUUGGAACAGGGCAUCAUAGAGGGUGAGAAUCCCGUCAUUGGCCAGAGCUGUUGUCUUUUGUGAUACAUUUUCAAAGAGUCAGGUUGUUUGGGAAUGCAGCCUAAAUUGGGUGGUAAAUCUCACCUAAAGCUAAAUAUUUGCGAGAGACCGAUAGCGAACAAGUACCGUGAGGGAAAGAUGAAAAGAACUUUGAAAAGAGAGUUAAACAGUAUGUGAAAUUGUUAAAAGGGAACCGUUUGGAGCCAGACUGGCUUAACUGUAAUCAAUCUAGGCUUUGGCCUGGAUGCACUUGCGGUUUAUGCCGGCCAACGACAGUUUUGUUUGAGGGAAAAAAUUACAUUGAAUGUGGCCCUUCGGGGUGUUAUAGCUUUGUAAAAAAUACCUUGGACUGGACUGAGGAACGCAGUGAAUGCCUUUAGGCAAGAUUGCUGGGUGCUUUCGCUAAUAAAUGCUAGAAUUUCUGCUUCGGGUGGUGCUAGUGUUUAAAGGAGGAACUCGCUUAGUAUAUUUUUUAUUCGCUUAGGUUGUUGGCUUAAUGACUCUAAAUGACCCGUCUUGAAACACGGACCCA
rnacentral:rRNA from 1 species